GAUGAACGCUGGCGGCGUGCUUAACACAUGCAAGUCGAGCGGGCACCCUGGUAUCAUCGUCCUACGAGUUUUUAAUGCGUGGGAACGUCCCCCGUGGGACGACCUCACGCUUAGACUCUCGUAAUAAUGGCGAAUACAACCUGUUACGGAAACAUAUAAUGCAUCAGGUUCGACACGCGUCGGAUCAGGUAUUUGUUUGGGUAAUGGCCUACCAAGGCGACGAUUAGUAGCUGGUAUGAGAGGAUGAUCAGCCACACUGGGACUGAGACACGGCCCAGACUCCUACGGGAGGCAGCAGUGGGGAAUAUUGCACAAUGGGGGAAAGGCUGAUGCAGCCAUGCCGCGUGAACGAUGAAGGACUUCGGGAUGUAAAGCUCUAUUAUCCGGGAAGAUAAUGACGGUACCGGAAGAAUAAGCCCCGGCUAACUUCGUG
rnacentral:rRNA from 1 species